CCCAACUUAAUGAACAAAUGCUCAGAACAAAAAAGAAAUCUUAUGAUCAAUAGCCCAGAAAAAAAAAUAUGAAAAAAAUAGGAUUACUCGAAUUUGGGCAUCAAACAACAAAUAUAACACCACAAGCAAAAACAUGAUGCAGAAAUGCCGAUGAUUUUACUUGGUCCUGAAUGCUCAAUCAAUCCUUGCAGCAAUUAUUUUGUAUCCAAAACAUUACAGGACUCUCACGAAACAUGCAAUCUUAAGAUAAUGUUUUUCCAAGGGGCAGUCU
rnacentral:lncRNA from 1 species